UCCUCGUUUAAGCGAGGCAGUCUGUCCAGAGUGCUUCCUUCUCUCGAAGGAGUGGCAACAGGACACAAGGGUUGCGCUCGUUGCGGGACUUAACCCAACAUCUCACGACACGAGCUGACGACAGCCAUGCAGCACCUGUGUAUGCUGGUAUUGCUACCUCGUCAGGCUUUCACCCUUCUACUACAUACAUGUCAAGGCCAGGUAAGGUGGGGAUGAGUGUCCUUGAUAGG
rnacentral:misc_RNA from 1 species